rnacentral:lncRNA from 1 species
AUGAAAGAGGCGCCGGUUCCUGUGCGACGCAGAAUCCAGCUCAACCCGACACAACAGAAAAACUUGAAGAAUGUUGACACUGAUGCCACAUCCAGACGGUUUGAAAUCUGGGACACCAACGCUGCAGACGACGUCCACAGAGAUUUUCACAACAUCUCUCACUUAUUACCGAACGCCGCCUGCAGACGCGCUCCGCCUGGGAAGGAAGUUGUGGAAAUAACACUGCGGCCGCUGAUGCCAGGACCGGCGGAGGGAGAGUGGGCCUGCUUCUGACAGACGUGGCAGGCGUGGGGGAAAAAGAUGUGUGGAAUUAAUGAGGCCAGGUGAUGGAGGAAGGCAGCCAGGCGCUCCGGCCUGCCUGCAGUUCACCUGCAGAGCUGCUCGUCUGAAAACCCGCCUGCAUCUGCAUCAUCACUUGGCUGAAGGCGACUUAAUUAAAACUAACAAGCAGUGCAUCGACGGCAUGCUGACGCCGAGGGGGGGGAGGGGGGCAGCAUUGUGCAUGCAGGUGAAGCACACUGUUGAUUUAAAAAGUGAAGGCUGGCUGACUUCUGACAGCAUGGCUAUCAGGAAGUAGAUGAGUCUUCCUCAUCCCCGGAGGAGAUGAAGAAGACGCAUCUUUAAAUGGCUGCAAAUAUCUAAACCUUUACAAGAUUCAAACGUCUACCUUUAAUAUUAUAUCCCUUUUUAUUUUCUCUAAAGAUUCUCCAGAAUUUUCUGUCUCUUCACAACAGUAAAUGACCCCGGGGUGUAAACACUUCCUCCAAAUGGAUGAGUUUUAAAUCAGAGCCUCAGCAGCUGCUUUUAUCAACAUGGAUUUAGUUUGCAGAAAGACUCACUGGAGUCUUUUUCUAGAUGAGAUUAUAAAACCUGUUUAUUGAAUUUGUUGAAAAAAUUGUGAUUUAAAAAGUACAUAUUUACUUUUAUGACUUUAAUUAUCUAAAUUCCAAACCUUGUUUUGCAGGUUUUUGUCUAAAAUCUUCUGAUUUUUCAUGAAUUUGAUGUUGGAGCAGGUGUUCUUUUUUGUCUUUUAUGAAUGUCAGUGACAUUUAUAAAAUAUAUUUAAAACAUGAUUCUGAUUUUAAUUUAUUUUAGUUUGAAGGUCAGAUUAUAAAUGUCUUCAUUCUGGAAUUAAAAUCUAUAUUCAGAAAGAAAAGAGAGUUCAAAUUUAAUCUGAAAGUUCCUUGUGAAGGAAAAGUGCUAUCUUGAUUGAAGUGGAAGAUUAACUGAAUUUUAAAUCAACAUAAUCUGACAGUCCUGGGAUUAAAAAAGUUCUAAAGAGAUAAAUAAGGUUUGAUUGGGAAUGAGGUCAAAGUUCUUAAUUUAAUCUAUCAAUUAUUAUUUUUUUGGUGUCACAUUGGUGACACAUUGAAGCUCAAAAUGUUGGUUUUAAUCUUUAAGUGAUCUGAGAUUAUUUUGGGAUUCACACCUGUAAUCCGUGAAAAAGUCAGAUUUUAGUAAUUUCAUUUUCUUUUCCAA